UUUCUCUUUCCUUUUUUUCUUUUUUUCCCCUUCUUUUAUUAUUUAGUCCCAGUGAAGCAAAGAGUAGUCCAAAGGAAUGACUUUUCAUAGGCUUUACAAAGCUGGCCUAGCCCCAACAACAUUCCUCUGAGGAAGAAGAAGCCUGAUGUAAACUUGAACUUCUAUUGCAGCUUCCUAUGAAGGGUUAUGGAAAAAACUGAGCUGCUAUUGUUGAGAUGAACCAACUUCCGGCAUAUGCCAUCUGUAACCACUCAAGCGCUUGUAGCAGGAGAGGUGAUGUGAAGAGUACAAUAACACGGCCAAAUCCAAGGCCUCCAGGAAUCAAGGCAUCAGAAUUAAGAGGACAAGACCAGACAGAAGUUAAGAAGAGGCA
rnacentral:lncRNA from 1 species